rnacentral:rRNA from 1 species
GUGCCAGCAGCCGCGGUAAUACCGGCAGCUCGAGUGAUGGCCGAUCUUAUUGGGCCUAAAGCGUCCGUAGCUGGCCGCGCAAGUCCGUCGGGAAAUCCACCUGCCCAACGAGUGGGCGUCCGGCGGAAACUGCAUAGCUUGGGACCGGAAGGCUCGGAGGGUACGUCCGGGGUAGGAGUGAAAUCCCAUAAUCCCGCACGGACCACCGAUGGCGAAAGCACUUCGAGAAAACGGCUCCGACAGUGAGGGACGAAAGCCAGGGUCUCAAACCGGAUUAGAAACCCUAGUAGUCC